rnacentral:rRNA from 1 species
GACAGAGGGGGCAAGCGUUGCUCGGAAUCACUGGGCGUAAAGGGCUCGUAGGUGGCCAACUAAGUCAGACGUGAAAUCCCCAGGCUCAACUUGGGAACUGCGUCUGAUACUGGAUGGCUUGAAUUCGGGAGAGGGAUGCAGAAUUCCAGGUGUAGCGGUGAAAUGCGUAGAUAUCUGGAGGAAUACCGGUGGCGAAGGCGGCCUGCUGGGCAGUAGCUGACGCUGAGGCGCGAAAGCGUGGGGAGCAAACAGG